rnacentral:tRNA from 1 species
GGUAGAUGGCUCAGUGGUAGAGCACUUGCCUUGCAUGCAUGAGGCCCUGGGUUCGAUUCCUCAGCACCA